rnacentral:rRNA from 1 species
UACAGAGGUGGCAAGCGUUGUUCGGAAUUACUGGGCGUAAAGGGCGCGUAGGCGGCUUGGUCAGUCCCGUGUGAAAUCCCAGGGCUCAACCCUGGAACUGCCUUUGAUACUGACGAUCUGGAGAUCGGGAGAGGUUGGUGGAAUUCCGAGUGUAGAGGUGAAAUUCGUAGAUAUUCGGAGGAACACCAGAAGCGAAGGCGGCCAACUGGCCCGAUACUGACGCUGAGGCGCGAAAGCGUGGGGAGCAAACAGG